GGAAGUGGAUAGGAUCUGGUGGUCCUUGCGGACUUCAAAUCCGUCAAACUCAACUUGUUGGGUUGGCAGGUUCGAUUCCUGCCCCUUCC
rnacentral:tRNA from 1 species